rnacentral:lncRNA from 1 species
CCCCACCACCACUCCCUUACCCUUCUACCUCCUCGAAUCACUGUCACAAAGGACUGUUUUCGUGGUGGGGGAGCCCCAAAUAUCUACUGGGGCAAGGCUUUAUAGAAAGCUACAAGCAAGAUAUCCAAUGGGUGACGGGACAGCGAUGAAAAUGUGUGGCUUCUCUGUCUUCAGCCUGCGUCUGUCUUAACCACCAGGCCAGGAUCUACUCAAUUCCACACGCAGACACGUUGACAAUCAAGAAUUUUUUCAUAUACUGUGAACUUGACCUAGCUUCUCUACUCCUUAUUCCAAUGCUAAAGAUACCUACCUGCAGCCGUGACUAGAGCGAGAAGGCCGCGAAAAGCCAAGUUCACAGUGGAGACUGACCACCACAUGUGAGUUUAUUUUGCCUCACCAGUUCAGGUCACAGUUCACGGUGGCCCCAUGGUGUCCACAGUCAGGAAGCAAAGAGAGAUGGAUGCUUGUGCUCAACCCAACCUCUCCUUUUUAUCCAGCCUUGGAUCACAGCCCACUUCAUGAUGGAGCAACACUGGGUCAUCACCCAAGUGCCAGGCACAUGCAGCCACCCAGUUUUGGACUUUCAGCUUCUAGGACUGUAUCCCAUGUAAGCCUCUUUAUAAAUUAUCCAGCCUCAAGUGCUCUGUUAUAGCAACAGUAACCAACUAAGACCCCAUAACUCCAGCAACUAAUACUUAAUGAAUAAUUGCUGACUUAAUCUCUCAUCACUUGUAUUCUAUAAA